rnacentral:rRNA from 1 species
GACACGUGGUAUCCUGUCUGAAUAUGGGGGGACCAUCCUCCAAGGCUAAAUACUCCUGACUGACCGAUAGUGAACCAGUACCGUGAGGGAAAGGCGAAAAGAACCCCGGCGAGGGGAGUGAAAUAGAACCUGAAACCGUGUACGUACAAGCAGUGGGAGCCUCUUUUAUGGGGUGACUGCGUACCUUUUGUAUAAUGGGUCAGCGACUUAUAUUUUGUAGCAAGGUUAACCGAAUAGGGGAGCCGUAGGGAAACCGAGUCUUAACUGGGCGUCAAGUUGCAAGGUAUAGACCCGAAACCCGGUGAUCUAGCCAUGGGCAGGUUGAAGGUUGGGUAACACUAACUGGAGGACCGAACCGACUAAUGUUGAAAAAUUAGCGGAUGACUUGUGGCUGGGGGUGAAAGGCCAAUCAAACCGGGAGAUAGCUGGUUCUCCCCGAAAGCUAUUUAGGUAGCGCCUCGUGAACUCAUCUUCGGGGGUAGAGCACUGUUUCGACUAGGGGGUCAUCCCGACUUACCAACUCGAUGCAAACUACGAAUACCGAAGAAUGUUAUCACGGGAGACACACGGCGGGUGCUAACGUCCGUCGUGAAGAGGGAAACAACCCAGACCGCCAGCUAAGGUCCCAAAGUCAUAGUUAAGUGGGAAACGAUGUGGGAAGGCAUAGACAGCCAGGAUGUUGGCUUAGAAGCAGCCAUCAUUUAAAGAAAGCGUAAUAGCUCACUGGUCGAGUCGGCCUGCGCGGAAGAUGUAACGGGGCUAAACUAUGCACCGAAGCUGCGGCAGCGACACUUAGGUGUUGUUGGGUAGGGGAGCGUUCUGUAAGCCGUUGAAGGUGGCUCGUGAGGGUUGCUGGAGGUAUCAGAAGUGCGAAUGCUGACAUAAGUAACGAUAAAGCGGGUGAAAAGCCCGCUCGCCGGAAGACCAAGGGUUCCUGUCCAACGUUAAUCGGGGCAGGGUGAGUCGACCCCUAAGGCGAGGCCGAAAGGCGUAGUCGAUGGGAAACAGGUUAAUAUUCCUGUACUCGGUGUUACUGCGAAGGGGGGACGGAGAAGGCUAGGCUAUCCGGGCGACGGUUGUCCCGGUUUAAGCGUGUAGGGGGAAAGCGUUGGUAAAUCCGCGCUUUUAUUAACCCUGAGGCGUGAUGACGAGUCACUACGGUGAUGAAGUAGUUGAUGCCAAGCUUCCAGGAAAAGCCUCUAAGCUCUAGGUAACAUUGAAUCGUACCCCAAACCGACACAGGUGGUCAGGUAGAGAAUACCAAGGCGCUUGAGAGAACUCGGGUGAAGGAACUAGGCAAAAUGGUGCCGUAACUUCGGGAGAAGGCACGCUGGCGCGUAGGUGAAGUCCCUUGCGGAUGGAGCUGAAGCCAGUCGAAGAUACCAGCUGGCUGCAACUGUUUAAUAAAAACACAGCACUGUGCAAACACGAAAGUGGACGUAUACGGUGUGACGCCUGCCCGGUGCUGGAAGGUUAAUUGAUGGGGUCAGCCGCAAGGCGAAGCUCUUGAUCGAAGCCCCAGUAAACGGCGGCCGUAACUAUAACGGUCCUAAGGUAGCGAAAUUCCUUGUCGGGUAAGUUCCGACCUGCACGAAUGGCGUAAUGAUGGCCAGGCUGUCUCCACCCGAGACUCAGUGAAAUUGAACUCGCUGUGAAGAUGCAGUGUACCCGCGGCAAGACGGAAAGACCCCGUGAACCUUUACUAUAGCUUGACACUGAACAUUGAGCCUUGAUGUGUAGGAUAGGUGGGAGGCUUUGAAGCGUGGACGCCAGUCUGCGUGGAGCCAACCUUGAAAUACCACCCUUUAAUGUUUGAUGUUCUAACUCCGGUCCCUAAUCGGGAUUGAGGACAGUGUCUGGUGGGUAGUUUGACUGGGGCGGUCUCCUCCUAAAGAGUAACGGAGGAGCACGAAGGUUAGCUAAUCACGGUCGGACAUCGUGAGGUUAGUGCAAUGGCAUAAGCUAGCUUGACUGCGAGAGUGACGGCUCGAGCAGGUACGAAAGUAGGUCAUAGUGAUCCGGUGGUUCUGAAUGGAAGGGCCAUCGCUCAACGGAUAAAAGGUACUCCGGGGAUAACAGGCUGAUACCGCCCAAGAGUUCAUAUCGACGGCGGUGUUUGGCACCUCGAUGUCGGCUCAUCACAUCCUGGGGCUGAAGUAGGUCCCAAGGGUAUGGCUGUUCGCCAUUUAAAGUGGUACGCGAGCUGGGUUUAGAACGUCGUGAGACAGUUCGGUCCCUAUCUGCCGUGGGCGUUGGAAGAUUGAGAGGGGCUGCUCCUAGUACGAGAGGACCGGAGUGGACGCAUCACUGGUGUUCGGGUUGUCAUGCCAAUGGCAUUGCCCGGUAGCUAAAUGCGGAAAAGAUAAGCGCUGAAAGCAUCUAAGCGCGAAACUUGCCUCGAGAUGAGUCUUCCCUGAGACCUUGA